rnacentral:rRNA from 1 species
UUGAACGCUGGCGGCAGGCCUAACACAUGCAAGUCGAGCGGAUGAAGGGAGCUUGCUCCUGGCUUCAGCGGCGGACGGGUGAGUAAUGCCUAGGAAUCUGCCUGGUAGUGGGGGAUAACGUCCGGAAACGGGCGCUAAUACCGCAUACGUCCUGAGGGAGAAAGUGGGGGAUCUUCGGACCUCACGCUAUCAGAUGAGCCUAGGUCGGAUUAGCUAGUUGGUGGGGUAAAGGCCUACCAAGGCGACGAUCCGUAACUGGUCUGAGAGGAUGAUCAGUCACACUGGAACUGAGACACGGUCCAGACUCCUACGGGAGGCAGCAGUGGGGAAUAUUGGACAAUGGGCGAAAGCCUGAUCCAGCCAUGCCGCGUGUGUGAAGAAGGUCUUCGGAUUGUAAAGCACUUUAAGUUGGGUGGAAGGGCAGUAAGUUAAUACCUUGCUGUUUUGACGUUACCAACAGAAUAAGCACCGGCUAACUUCGUG